AUCCAGAUGACGAGUCCCAAAUAGGACGAAAUUCGUGUCGCGAAU
rfam:Schistosoma curassoni strain Dakar, Senegal genome assembly, scaffold: SCTD_scaffold0013599